rnacentral:rRNA from 1 species
GUUAGGAAUCUUCCACAAUGGGGGCAACCCUGAUGGAGCAACACCGCGUGCUGGAUGAAGGCCUUCGGGUUGUAAACUGCUUUUGUACGGAACGAAAAGGCUCUGGUUAAUACCUGGGGCUCAUGACGGUACCGUAAGAAUAAGCACCGGCUAACUACGUGCCAGCAGCCGCGGUAAUACGUAGGGUGCAAGCGUUAAUCGGAAUUACUGGGCGUAAAGCGUGCGCAGGCGGUUUUGUAAGACAGAGGUGAAAUCCCCGGGCUCAACCUGGGAAUUGCCUUUGUGACUGCAAGGCUGGAGUGCGGCAGAGGGGGAUGGAAUUCCGCGUGUAGCAGUGAAAUGCGUAGAUAUGCGGAGGAACACCGAUGGCGAAGGCAAUCCCCUGGGCCUGCACUGACGCUCAUGCACGAAAGCGUGGGGAGCAAACAGGAUUAGAAACCCUGGUAGUCC